GAUGAACGCUAGCGGCAGGCCUAAUACAUGCAAGUCGAACGGAUAUAUGUUUUUCGGAAUAUAUAUUAGUGGCGCACGGGUGAGUAACACGUACAUAACUUGCCCUCAAGCGGGGGAUAGCCUUGGGAAACUGAGAGUAAUACCCCAUAGAAUUAUUGGACGGCAUCGUUUGAUAAUUAAAACUACGGUGCUUGGGGAUAGAUGUGCGUCUGAUUAGCUAGUUGGUGAGGUAACUGCUCACCAAGGCGACGAUCAGUAGGGGGCGUGAGAGCGUGGCCCCCCCACACGGGUACUGAGACACGGACCCGACUCCUACGGGAGGCAGCAGUAAGGAAUAUUGGUCAAUGGAGGGAACUCUGAACCAGCCAUGGCCGCGUGAAGGAUGACGGCCCUCUGGGUUGUAAACUUCUUUUGGAUGGGGCGGAAAAACGGGNUUUAUCCUGGACUGACGGUACCAUCAGAAUAAGCACCGGCUAACUCCGUG
rnacentral:rRNA from 1 species